ACUAGGCUUGGGCAUCAUUGAUUACAGCUACGUGCAAAUCAUUCCAGCCUAACCCAGCUCAUAACUGACUAAACAGCAUGGACCAGGGGAGAGUGUAUCGGAGAGCUCAGUUUUACUUUUGCUUUAGAUGCUACCUGGUGAGCUCUGGACUGUUCCCCCCUCCCUCACCCUUUUCCUUCACUGUAUCAAGGUUAUAUGUGGACAUCAGUUUUCAGCUCACAUGGAUAAAUACCAAAGAACAUGACUGCUGGAUCUUAUGAUCCUCAUCAGAAUUUGUCAGUUUUGAGUUUUGCAAUUCUAUAGACUGUAUGUUCCUCUAAUAUUGAAGUCAUGUAUGGAUGUGAGAGUUGGACUGUGAAGAAAGCUGAGCGCCGAAGAAUUGAUGCUUUUGAAGUGUGGUGUUGGAGAAGACUCUUGAGAGUCCCUCGGACUGCAAGGAGAUCCAA